rnacentral:misc_RNA from 1 species
UGGCUCUCGCAUCGAUGAAGAACGCAGCGAAAUGCGAUAAGUAAUGUGAAUUGCAGAAUUCAGUGAAUCAUCGAAUCUUUGAACGCACCUUGCACUCCAUGGUAUUCCGUGGAGUAUGCCUGUUCGAGUGUCACGUCAACCCUCACCCUUGCGAUGUUAAAGUUGCUCGCGGUGGACUUGGACCGUGCCGUAGUUGGCUCGUCCUGAAAUGCAUUAGCUUGCGCUUUUAGAGUGCCGAGCACAGGUGUGAUAAUUAUCCGCGCCGCCGCUCAAGCCUCUUCAGUGGUGCUGCUUAUAGUCGUCCCGACGGACAUUAUUAAAGCUUUGGCCUCGAAUCAGGUAGGAUUACCCGCUGA